AGCGAACGCUGGCGGCAGGCCUAACACAUGCAAGUCGAACGAACCCUUCGGGGUUAGUGGCGGACGGGUGAGUAACACGUGGGAACGUGCCUUUAGGUUCGGAAUAACUCAGGGAAACUUGUGCUAAUACCGAAUGUGCCCUUCGGGGGAAAGAUUUAUCGCCUUUAGAGCGGCCCGCGUCUGAUUAGCUAGUUGGUGAGGUAAUGGCUCACCAAGGCGACGAUCAGUAGCUGGUCUGAGAGGAUGAUCAGCCUCAUUGGGACUGAGACACGGCCCAAACUCCUACGGGAGGCAGCAGUAGGAAAUAUUGGACAAGGGGGGCAACCCUGAUCCAGCCAUGCCGCGUGAGUGAUGAAGGCCUUAGGGUUGUAAAGCUCUUUCGGCGGGGAAGAUAAUGACGGUACCCGCAUAAGAAGCCCCGGCUAACUUCGUGCCAGCAGCCGCCGUAACAC
rnacentral:rRNA from 1 species